GAUGAACGCUGGCGGCGUGCCUAAUACAUGCAAGUCGAGCGAACAGACGAGGAGCUUGCUCCUCUGACGUUAGCGGCGGACGGGUGAGUAACACGUGGAUAACCUACCUAUAAGACUGGGAUAACUUCGGGAAACCGGAGCUAAUACCGGAUAACAUGUUGAACCGCAUGGUUCAACAGUGAAAGACGGUCUUGCUGUCACUUAUAGAUGGGUCCGCGCCGCAUUAGCUAGUUGGUAAGGUAACGGCUUACCAAGGCAACGAUGCGUAGCCGACCUGAGAGGGUGAUCGGCCACACUGGAACUGAGACACGGUCCAGACUCCUACGGGAGGCAGCAGUAGGGAAUCUUCCGCAAUGGGCGAAAUCCUGACGGAGCAACGCCGCGUGAGUGAAGAAGGUCUUCGGAUCGUAAAACUCUGUUAUUAGGGAAGAACAAAUGUGUAAGUAACUAUGCACGUCUUGACGGUACCUAAUCAGAAAGCCACGGCUAACUACGUG
rnacentral:rRNA from 1 species